GAUGAACGCUAGCGGCAGGCCUAACACAUGCAAGUCGAGGGGUAACGAUGUCUUCGGACAGUCGACGACCGGCGCACGGGUGAGUAUCGCGUUUGUAACCUACCUUUAACUGGAGAAUAGCCCGAAGAAAUUCGGAUUAAUACUCCAUAAUACUAUGAUCUGGCAUCUUUUUAUAGUUAAAGCUCCGGCGGUUAAAGAUGGACAUGCGUAACAUUAGUUUGUUGGUGAGGUAACGGCUCACCAAGACUACGAUGUUUAGGGGGUCUGAGAGGAUGGUCCCCCACACUGGUACUGAGACACGGACCAGACUCCUACGGGAGGCAGCAGUGAGGAAUAUUGGUCAAUGGGCGCAAGCCUGAACCAGCCAUGCCGCGUGAAGGAUGACAGCGCUAUGCGUUGUAAACUUCUUUUGUACAGGAAGAAACUCUUCUACGUGUAGAAGCUUGACGGUACUGUACGA
rnacentral:rRNA from 1 species